rnacentral:lncRNA from 1 species
GUUACAUGUCUAUUCUCUGGAUUAGAUUUAGAAUUUUAAUAACUCAUAUUAACUUUCAGCUUAACCUGAUAUACUUCCUGUUAAUCUAUUUCACUGAAACUGGGGUAUCCAUAGGCUCAGAGGGGUCAAGUCAUCCUUGUGCAGCUUUUUCCUGAAGGGUCUCCUCUGAAUGCCAUGUAAAAUACAUGUGUUGAUAAAUAACUCAGUUGAUUAAAUAACCCAGGGAACUUUUCUCAACUAUUUUCUCAUCACAGUCUCUGUUUUGUCCUCUUUAAAAAUGCAGAACAUGGCUUUGACUUGGGGUUCUAGCUCUUUGCCAGGAUCUGCAAUUAAUAUGUCAUAUCUAUAAAAUUUUAUUUUGUCUGAAUACCAAUGGUGUCAAAGAGAAAGUGUCUACCUGUUAAAGGUACAAUGACUGAGGCUAAUAGAGAUUAUGUAAUCUGUCCAGAGUUACAAAAUCAAUAAAUUCAACCAUGAUACAAAUAUAUUUUCCUUAAAAUCUGUUUCCAUUCAUAUUGUAUCUUAGUGCUCGUAGUGUUAAGUCUAGGGGGAAAAAUGAAGAGCUCUUAGAUAAUAUUAUAUCCCAAGGAAUAGUAUUCCACUUCUUCCUGCCCUCUUGCAUCCUUAGCCACCAUCAAACCCCAAACAUCAGAAACAGAAUUUAAAUAAAUGUCACAAGAAGACAUGCCUGAGUCAUGUUCUUGUUCCUGAAUCUUUCUAACAUAUCUUCAGCAUUUUACAAAGUUCAGUGAUAUUUGAAUUUGAUCAACCACUAGAUAUCUAGAGGAUGAUCAAUGGAAAAUGUUUCUACAAUUAUUUUUUAAUUUAUUAUUUAUUUAGUUUUUAAUUUUUUUAUUUGUUCCUUUUAGAUAUACCUGACAGGAGAGUGUAUUUUGACAUAUUAUACAUACAUGGAAUAUAACUUCUAAUUAGGAUCCCACUGUUGAGGUUGUACCUGAUGUGGUGUUUACUGGUGGUGUAUUUGAGUUGAGAACUUCCAUUCAAAAUGUUUACCUAGAGACAAAUGAGGACUUAAGUCAUAGGGUUGAUUGGUUUCUUCCUUAGGAACUGUCCAAUCCUAAAAUUCAUAGAAGAUUUCCUACUUUCCAUCUCUGUGAAGUGAAAUGUCAGGUCAAUUGGUUGCAGCUGUGCUGAAUGCCAAGUGCUUUUGUUAAAUUGCUUCUGUUCUAAGUUUGAAAAGAUGACUGUGAGAAUCCCCAGGAACCCUUGGAGAGAAGCUGGAAUUGUGAUGGUGGUUCUCAUGGUGCUGAGGACUCCCAUGGCUAGCAGAAGAGAUUUCCCAAGUAAGUGCAGGACAGCUGCUAUUCAGAGCCCAGAUUUGGAAGUAAUUUCUUGGGGGCUCUGGGGCUUAAGCUUAUGUCUAUUGUAUUUUCAACAAACCACAGGUAGAAUUUGGAAGGACUUCUACAAGAGUCCUGAUUUCUCCUUCUUAGAGUUUUGCUAGAUUCCUUUUUUCAACCUCUGCUGUGGAAGAAGGCAGGCUAAUUUCUCUAUAGUGAAAGUGUUACAUCCACUGUCUCACUUAGUCUUUCUAAAGCACACAUAUAUACAAAUUGAUAACUCUGGGGUAUUAUUAUUAUAGUGUAUUUUACACUAAUUAUUAGGAAAAUAACACAACAGACAUAAUAAUACAUAUACACGUAACAAAAAUUACAAAGAAGUAUUCAAACACCAAUAAUCAAGUUGAACAUAUGUGAACAUUACCAAUUCUUUAAAUGACUCCUGUGUACUCCUUUCCAACGGUAUACAUUUUUGCAUUCCAAGAGUAAGUUCUAUUGUGACUCUUUUAAUCCUAUUCUUUUUGCUCAUUGUUAUAGUUAGCAUAUAUACGAAUGUAUCCUUAAACAAUAUAGAUUAAUAUUUCCUCCUCUAAAUGUUCUAUAAAUUCUGAGCUCUGUGUUGCUUCCUUUCUCAAUAUUUUGUCUGAGAAGACUUGCCACAAAUCUCUGAUGCAACAUUCAUCCAUUUUCGUUGUUGGGUAGUAUAUUCCAUUUCAUGAGGGCAGAGCAAUGUACUUAACGUGUUCUUAUGUGGAUGUAGAUUUGGGCUGCUCUUACUUUAAACAAAAUGUAUCCUGGAAUCCUGGAACCCUUGGUCUACAUUUCUUUAGACUGAAAUAGAUACUUCAAUUGGAAUGUCUGCCUAUAUUCAACUUGACAAGACAAUGUCCAACUGUUAUUCACAUUAGUUGUCUCAUGAGCUGUUCAUAAGAAAAUCCAAUUCUUGACAGCUUUUGGUAUCUUAGACUAUUUAAUGUUUCCCUGUCUGGUGAGUGUGUAGUUAUCUUUUUCUCAUUUAUUUCAAAAAAAUAGAAAGUAUAUUUCAAAUUAAGCCCAUCAUCAGUAUGUGCUUUGCAAAUGUUUGUACUUUUGACCUUGUGUAAGUCUUUUAAUGAUGUCUCUUGAUGAGCAGAAGCUGUUAAUUUUAAUGAAUUGAAUUUAUCAAUCUUUUAAAUUUAUGAUUAGUUCUUUUAAUGAUUUAAGAAAUCUGUCACAACUCCAGCAUCAUGAAAAUGUUCUCUAGUUUUAUCUCCUAACAGAUUUGUAGCAUUUCAUUCAUACUUAGGUCUAUGUUACAUAUAGUGCAAGAAGUAUGCCUAAUUUCUUCUGCUCCUUCUGAUGUAUAUCCAUUUAUUAGAACAUCAUUUAUUGACAAAAUAUUCAUUGCUCACUGACCACCUUGUGUGCCACCCUUGUAAAUUCGGUCUAAAUGGAUUCAUGAAACUUAUUUUGGAAUACAUUGUGCCAUUUAUUUGUCUAUGUCUGUGCCAAAAACAUGGUGUUUAAUCACCAUCUUUGCCUUAUGAACCUUUAUUGCAUUUUAGAAUCAGCUUGUAAAUUUUGAGUAAUCACAAAUUGGUAGGAAUUUUAAAUUAUACUCACAGAAUCCAUAAGACCAUUUGGGAUAAUGUCCUCUUUAUAAUAUUCAGUCUUCCAAUUCAUGUACAGGUGUAUCUGUGUUUAUUUAGGACCUUUUUGAUGUAUCUAAUAAAUUUCAUUAUUUCCCUUUUAGAAUUCUUGUAUAUUUUUAUAAGACUUCUUCAUAAUUUUUAUGCCAUUAUAAGUGGUAUAAUUCACAUUUGAUUUCACAUUUGUUGCUCAUCUGUAUGUACAAUAUUUAAAAAUGAAUCUUGUAUCCAGCCAUUUGCUGAACUCUCCCUUACUUUAAAUUCUUUUAGUUAGUGGAUUAUUUAGGAUUUUUGUUAUUUACAGAUCCAGCAUAUGAAAAUGCUGGCAAUUUUUUUCUGUAUUCCAAACAUUAUUCCAUGAUCUUCUUUGUUUGACAUUUUUUAAUUUUCUCUAAUAAAUGAUCAAUGCAGGAUUUGAGGUAGAGAAACCACUUCAUUCAUCCUGGGAAUAAAAUUCUGAGGGUUGAGAUAGAUUUUAUUUAGUCACUGGUCUGUGUUGUCAUGUUCCUUUACUCCCUGUGUCUCCCUGUGGCACCCAACACAGGGUUGGUUGGGUGCAAGCCUGAGCUAAAUCUAACAUGGCCUGGUUCUCUUACAGAGGAUUUUGUGUACCAGUUUAAGGGCACCUGCUACUUCAUCAAUGGGACUCAGCGAGUGAGGCUCGUGGCCACACAAAUCUAGAACAAGGAGGAGAUUCUCUGCUUUGACAGUGAUGUGGGGUGUUUGUGGCUGUAACAAAGCUGGGGCUGUCAAGUGCCAAGAGCUAGAAUGCCCAGACGGACCUGCUGGCUGAGUAUUGGGCGCACGUAGACACCCUUGGCAGACACUACUAUUACCAGACAGCUUCCUUCACUGUUGGGCUGAGAGGUGAGUUUAGGACUGAUCAAAUUGUGCUCACCUCUGAACUAGUGUGGAAGGCAUGUGUGGAAGGCAACUUUUGUGAUUCCUAGGAUUUUGGUAAAAUUGGGAAGGCAUUUAAAUUCAAGGAAAAUCUGUUGCAAGACUUGGCAAAACAGAGUUGGGAGAGUGUGUUAGUCAGUUUUGAGUUACUGCAAUAAAAUGCUUGAGAUAAUUAACAUAAAUAGAGGAGAGAUUUAUUUUAGUCCAUGGUUGGCUGAUAGCACUGACUUUGAGCCCAUAGUGAAGUAGCACAACACAGUGGGAAUAUACAGAGGAGGAAAGCAUUGUUAGUUGAUUGUAUUCUGUGAAAAUCAGACUGUACUUAAAUCAAGACAACCAGGACAUUAUUAGACCAAAUAAUCUUAAUGGACCAUGAUGGUAUAUGCAUUGCUGACAUAGAUAUUUAUAAAAGGGACAUUUUAUUUGUUUUUUUUUUCAUUUAAAAAUCAACAUAUAAUAUUGGUACUUAUUUAUGAGGUACAGUGUUGUAAUUCAACACGAUGUGCUGAGAUCAAACUGGGGAGAUCAGUAUUUCCACUUCCUGAAAUAUUAUCAUUUUUAUGUAUUGGCAACCCAAACUCUUCUUCUCUAAUUUUUGCAAAGUGUGUAAUAUUAAUUAUUGUAGACUAUCCUUUGUUGAGCUGUAUAACAUUAAAAGUGCACCCCUCCUCGUAGGUUUGAUUCCCAUUAUUCACCCUCUCACUAUUCCUUUCCUAGGCUGUGGUGACCUCUAUUCUACCCUCUAUUUCUAUGUGAUCAACUUUUUUUUUUAAUCUUCCACAAAUGGGUGAAACCUUUGGUAUGUGUGAACACUAAUAUGUGCUAUUUUCUCCACUUUUGUAUUAAAGGAGGGACUAAAGCCCACAGCGAGACCCUCUUUGCUGCCUUAUUCUCUGACUUCAUUUUUUGCUGUCAUUCAUCCUAGUGGAGCCUAUGGUCACCAUCUCUCCUGCAGGACAGAGGCCCUAAACCACCACAAUUUGCUGAUCUGCUCAAUGACAAAUAUUAUCCUCGACAAGUUAAAGUCAGAUGGUUCCGCAAUAAAGAGGAAGAGACUUCUGGAGUUGUGUCCACACCACUUAUUCAGAAUGGGGAUUGGACCUACCAGAUUCUUGUGAUGUUGGAAGUAAUACCCCAGCAUGGAGAUGUCUACACUUGCCAUGUGGAGCACCCCAGCCUCCAGAGCCCCAUCACUGUAGAAUGGUGUAAGGGCCACUUCAUUGAUACCAGAGGUUCAGCAGAAAGAAACAAAGGCAGGAAGGACAUUGGGUCUUGUGGGCUUGGGGUCCUUCCUUUCCUCUGCUGUUGGACACAUUCAUACCUUCUCUCCUACACAAAUCGUGGUGUCAUUUCUGUGCCUAGAGUCAUGGAGGCCUGAGAUCUCAAGUCAAAAGGCAGACACUGAGUAUUGACCUCCUUUCUUUCCAAGAUAUUAUUGCUUUAUGUAACCUGAUCCCCAGGCUGAGGUUCAGCUUGGCAAUGUAUCUUCUGCAGUAGUGAAAUUUUAGGCUUUAACAUUAAAACUAAUAUUUGGGGAUGGUCUCUGGAUUUUCAGACAGACCUACCCUGGGGAUCCACUCUCCCUUUUCUUCCUGAGCCCUCAUCCACCCACUGUUCUCCUGGGGUCUCUGCAUGCCCUUGACCCUCCUCUGUUUGUCUCUUAUAUCUUGGGUUGGACUCCAAGGUUUCUGACGAGGACUCUGUGGGAUGUGGGGACAGUCGCUGAUGCACAGGCUUCUACUUCCCAGGGGCACUGUCAGAAUCUGCCCAGAACAAGAUGCUGAGUGGCAUUGGGAGUCUUGUGCUGGGACUGAUCUUUCUUGGCUUGGGUCUUAUUGUCCACUUUUGGAAUAAGAAAGGUAAGUCACCUGUAGAGAAAAUGGGGAAGACUGGCGCUAGGACUACGUGUUUCAGUUGUAAUUUUUCUUAUCUCAGUUAAAAGGGGGAGCAAAAAUAGGGAUAGAAGUAGAUUGCAGAAAUUAGAAAGGCCUGAGUCCUCCUUGUCCCAAGUCAAGUUUGCUUCAUCACAGAGGACAGUGGUGGAGGGUGAUUUUUAGACAGAGAAGCUCUCAGUCCAUCCUUACCUAUGCCAAGCCCUUGUUAACAUGUGACUUCCUUAAAGAUGCAGAGACUUUGCUCACUACCUUCAGUGACUGACUCAGUGACUUUGGGGUGAUGUCACAUGGACUGGAGUGGGAGAGAGAGCAAUCUGGAUAUUCUUUGAAUUUUCUUUUGGAACUUGGGACAAAGAGACAGAGAAGCAACUCUUCCUUUGCCCAUGUUAAGGAGCUUCUCUGUCCCUUUCUCUUUUUGUUCUUGCUGAUGAUGGAACAACCCAAAGCUCCACCCACAAGACAGAGCCCUACUCCUCUUGCCCAGAAAUGUGACACAUGUAAGAUAGAUAAAGAUGUUGGCUGGGUUUGACUGGACACCCUAAUACGCUUCAGUUUAUUUGUUCUUGGCUUCAUGCCACACUCUUUCUCAUGUGAGUUUGGUUGGAGGAAAAUUUUGGAACAUUACACAUGGUCUCUGCAGGAAAUUUCAGGAACUGUUUUCCAGAACAAUCCCCAACCUUUGGCACUGAGUGAGGCUUGUACGAUGCUCCCAGACCCCCAGAUUACAGAGUGCUGCUGAGCUGGAUGUUAGGUGAGAUGACAGGAGGUUACAGUUCUUACCUGUCCAGUUAAGUAUGUGACCUGUGCUUCACCAAAGCACUUAGACUGCUGAUAGAACUGGGGCCUUCAUCCACAUGCCCCUGCAGAAGCUUUGUGUUCACUUUAGCACAGUAUCCUCUUUAAUCAGAUACCAGGAGAGAUGGUGAGGAGUAGGUAGUUGUACAAAAUCACCCUUAGUGUUCUGAGUUGCAGAGAGGCCCCAGGGGUAUUAGGUAGGGGGCUGACUUUCUCUAGGGAUUUCUCUUAUGACUUAUUUUUUUCUCUCUCCUUCAGGGCUCAUGCACUGAUUUCCAACAUGUUUCUUCCUGUUACCCCUGUUCCAUGGUCUACUGCUGUCUUCACCCUUGUGCACAGUUCCUAGCCUCCCUUCUCUCUGGCCUGUGAGGAAUCCACCUCUGCCAGCCCUGUCCCCCAUCAAGACCUGAGUCCCACAGUGCCUGAGCAGCAGAUGCAAGGCCUUCUUCUUCUCCGCGUGCUCACACAGACACAGACACACACACACACACACAUACACACACAUACAAAUUUUAUUUGUGAUGGACCUUUAUUUUAUUCAUUUAUUUAUAUGUGGUGCUGAGAAUCAAACCCAGUGCCUCACACAUACUGUACCACUGAGCCAAAACCCCAGGCCCCUGGCCCUCUUCUUGUUCUGGUAUUUCCUGAAUUUCUGUGACUACUUUCCACCUGACGCUGGGAGCUCUGCUCCCUGUGCUGCCUGACACAUCUGUUUGGGCCACAAGUACUUUCAACAUGUUUCUGAUCUUGUGCUCUGUCUGAAGACUUCCCAUAAUUAAAUGUCAAACUCCUUUAUCUAUCUAUCUAUCUAUCUAUCUAUCUAUAUAUAUAUCUAUCUAUAUAUAUAUAUAUAUAUAUUUGCAAAAUUAAAUAGAUUUGUGAGCCCCUUGUGUUUCUGAUUCUGAUUGAUUAAAAGUGGUGGUGGGAGAUACUGACACAGAAAUGAACAGAUUCUAGAGGGCUAGUUCAGUGAUGCCCCAAAAGGGAGGAGACUAGGGGAAGUCAUGGGUCCCCAUACCUGGUCUAAUUCAGAUGCCAUGUAAAAAUGUGAAAAAGUAUGAAAACAUUCAAUUGUCCACCAUCCGGGGGCUUGGAAGUUGGGGUUGUGUACAGCAUUCUUUCCUGGAUUCUGCUGCAGCCUGAUUGUUUAUUUGAGCUAUUGGAAUUAUUUUGUGCCAUUAUGUUACCUAACAACACCUAACACUAUAAGUUAACCAUCCUCACCCCACAAAUGUCUCCUGAUAUUGUUGACUAUGUACAUGGGGGUAAAAGACAAUGAUUUUGGGUUGUGUCUGAACUACCAGGUUAUAUACUUGCCAGUGGGAAUUUUAUUAGAAAAUAAUAUGUUGAUUGCAUGUGAUGGAAACUCUACUAAUACCAUCCCAAGAAAAAAAUUAAUUAUUUGGCAUAUAAUUUAAAAGUUCAUAAAUUAAUUUGGCUUCUGAAAAAUGCUUAUAUCAAGGACUAAGAUGAGAUUCUUUUCUCCUUUGUCUCUUAGUUCCUUCCUUUCUCUCUGACCUUUUCCUCCUGUCUUUUCUCUCUUUUCUCAGUGUGCUUCUUUUUCUACUCUGUAGCUCUUCAUCUGUCUGUCUAUCUAUCCAGUUUUGGUACUGUGGAUUGAACCCAGGGGCACUCAACCACUAAGCCACAUCCCCAGCCCUAUUUUGUAUUUUAUUUAGAGACAGAGUCUCACUGAGUUGCUUAGUGCCUCACUGUUGUUGAGGCUAGUAUUGAACUCAUGAUCCUCCUGCCUCAGCCUCCUAUAUCUCCAUGCAGCUGGGAUUACAGGUGUGUACCACUGUGCCUGGCUGUCUCUUUAUUAUCAUGCAUUUUUCUCGAUCUCCCUCUAUCUGAAGGAUCAUCUCUCUGUUCAUGUAUUAAAUGGUUUUUCUCACUUUCUUCCAUUUGCAUUCCUCCAUGAAUGUCUCUCUCACACGUCUUUUAUUUCUUACCUGCAUUAGAAUGUCUUGCUGUCUUUUUUUUUCUUUUUCCCUCAAUCCAUCCAUUGGGCUGUGCUCAUGGUGCACAUGAUCAUUUCUUUCUGUCCUUCUAUAGACCCUGUCUUUUCUCCUUGUCUGCAUUCUCUCUUUGUGUUUAUCUCUCUGCCUCUCUUUAUCCAUCUUUGCCUGUGUUUCUUUCUCUCUUGCUUUGCUCCCUGUGUUUGUCUGAGUACUGCUUUUCCUGAUAGUUCUUAUUUUCUCCUCUGGAAAUAUGGGUAUGUAGAGGAACAUCUCAGACUUCCAGCCUAUCAUCUGAAUAGCAAGAGAUCAAAUAUGUCAACUCCAGUUUAACCAUCUGGAGAAAUCCCUGAUAGAGUGACAUUCCAAUUUCUCAACCAAUCAUUUUAGCCAUGAGAUAUAGGAUUCUAAGUCAGGCCUUAGUUUUGAACCAAUUUCUGUGCAGAAAGACAGAUUUUAUUUUCCUCAAAAAAAAAAAAAAAAAGGAAAGUAUGAAAAACAAAGCAAGGCUGGAUAGAUGGUAAUAGUAAUAAUUAUAAUAUAAUCAUAGUGAUAUCAACUGUCAUUCCCUCUAUAUAGGAAGUGUCCUUCUCUGUUUCUUUUCCUACUCAUUAAAAGUUUGUUGCCAAGGGAAUAGCUCAGUGCUAAAGCCCUUUUCUAGCAUGCAAGAGGUCCUGGGUUUGAUCCUCAGCCCCACACCCUUCAAGUAUAAUUUAUGUAGUUUUUAUGCAAUGAAAGUUUUAUUUUUGCCAUUAUAGAAAGAGAAUUUCAAAUCAUAUCAACUUACAAAUCCAAGCUCUCUGGUUACAUGAAUUUAUCUUUAUUUGCUUUGAGUGUUCAUUAUUGACUCUGUAAAUGAUGGUGGAAGGAUAAACUCAUCUACCUUCAAAACAUGAGGAAAUAAUAGCAUAAUAACAAUAAAAGUAUAAUCAUAAAUCACUUUUGCUCACAUAAAGUGGUAUUUGAUAAUCUGGGUGAAGUCAGUCCUCAUUGCUUAUUUAUGCUACCUAUUACCAGAUGAGGAGGAGGGAAGCCACUGGGAUACAAAUGCAGUAGCUUCUGGAAUUAUAUAAUAGAACACCCCCACACUCAUUUCCAACAUAUAUCUGCCACUACUAUCUACUUUGGAGGGGUCAUCAGGGAAAAUAAAGUUGUCAAAGUUAGGGCAGGUAUUGAUACAUUUGAUAUUUGUUCUGUCCAUGUAAGUCUGAUGGUAAACAUUUACAGUAUGGAUCCCCAGGAUGUCCUACUACUUGAGUUUUUCUAAAAAGAGAUCAGUAGUAUCUCAGGUUCUCAGAGUCCUGCAUUAUUUAUAUUUAAAUAAUCAGAUCACAUACUUUGAAAUGCUAUGCCUUAUGGUAUUCAGUAAGUGCUUAGUAAAUAUUCGCUGGUUGCUCAUGAAGACCUUUGUUUCAUGGGUUAGCCUAUUCCUGGAAUCUUUUUACUUUUUUUUGUAUCAUUUUUUAAUCAUACACUUUGAUGUACAUAGUGUCUCUUUCCCUCACUCAUGAUGGCAAAAUUGUCUUGGCUAUUUUGUCACUUUGACACAUAUAGUGGUAGUGAUGGUGGGGUAUCUCUAUACAGCAGGAUUUUAUUUUUUAUUUUUCAGUGUUAACUUUUGUGUUUUUAUAUUUUCCUGUUUUGGAAUAUGCAAUAAUAUUCUUUUUUUUAAUCUACAAAAUGUUUCAUUCACUACCUCUACUUUCAACAUCCUUUGUGCACUUCUAAACAUCCAGGAAUUCUAGAUAUUUCAAAUAAGGACUUAAAUUUGAAUAAACCACACACAUAUAACAAUGGUUAUAUCUGAAAGUGUUUUCUAAGUAGGAUCAUUCUGGCCUAGUAUCCUUCAUUUCUUCCACUUCUUUUUCCUAUGUUACCUGUGUCAUAUCUGAGUGUCAUAUAGUGUGAUAUUACAAUUUCAAUUCCAAAAGGCCCUUUCAUAAGACUGUCUUUCUAUGAAUUUUAACAUAAAGUCUACAAAAUGUGUUAGUUUACUAACUCUACUUUUGUUAUACAUUGGCAACCUCUUUAAUAUCUAGAGGCUAUAUAUUACAAAAUUAAGACUCUUUUGUCCAGUAUAUACACAAUAUAUACAGAAAAGCAAAGUUAAAUAAAAUGCACAUUGCAGGGCAAUGGGUAAGCUGAAAUCGUCCAGCAGACUUAACAAAACCUUUUGCAACUUCCCUCCUGCCUCCCUCAGCCCAGUGAACAAGUACAGACAGUGUUCUGUUCAGAGGUGGUUUAACAAUUCCAGACACAGUAUUUCCCAUCCAUUUUUAAAAGCUAUUUAUAAAAUGUUUUAUUCUACUACUUCUAAGUUCAUCAAACACUUCGAAAUAUAUAGAAGGACUAGAUAUUCCACAUAGGAACCUGUCCACUAGGCACACACAUAAAUAAAAUUGCACACACAACCAUGGUUAUAAUCAGAAGUAUCUUCUAAUAUUUUGUCCUUGAAACUUUCGGUCCUCACUUCCUUUUCUCUACUUUCAAUCCAGUGGACAAGUAGAAACAUGAAUGCUUAGAGAUGGUUGAACGAAUUCACAUCCAAAAGUUAUUUAUAGAGGACAAGCUUUCCUAUGAAUUUCAACACACAAUGUACAAAAUGUGCUAAUGUUACUAACUACUUGGUCAUACACUCUUUAACAUCUAGAGACUAGAUGUUGCAAAACCGGGUCUCAUUUGUCCAUUGUAUAUACUAGAUACACAACAAAACAAAAUGCACAAAAUGUAUAGAAUACUGAUGUCUGAACAUGUCUAAGUAUGAACACAUGAACAUAUUACCCUUUGCAAUUGUUCCUGCCCUCCUCCACAUCACUCAACAAGUACAGAUAGUACUAUAGUGCUCACAGAGGUAGUUUCACAGUUCCAUUCCAAAAAGACAACAUUUUAUAUGAAUUGUAGCAAAAUGACAUUUGACUACCUCUAUAUUUAACAUACAGUGGGCACUUCUAAACAUCUAGACAGACUAGGAGUUUCAAGUAAGAACUCAAUUUGUUCACUGUGUACACAAGAGUCUUAAAUAAGUUGCACACAUGUAACAAUAGUUCUAAUUUGAAAAUGUCUUCAAAAUGUGAGUAUUCUGGCCCUUCACUGACCCAGUGGGCUAUAAUACUCAAAUUUUCAGAAGACAAUCUUUCUUAGGUAUUUUAACACAAAAUAUACACAAUUUGUUUAUUAAUUCUACUUUUGUCAUAUACUGGCAAGCUCUUUAACAUCUAGAAAGGAUUAGAUUAGGAUUCAUUUGUCCUUUAUAUACUCUACAUACAGAACAAAGUAAAACAAAACCCAUAGACACAGAAACAACCCUUGCUACACUGGCAUGGUGCUCCUGAGGAGCAGCUCACAAUCUGCACCACUAAACAGGGGGUUUGGCUAUUUCCCCCAAAACAUUUUAUAGAAAAUUUACAAAAUGUAUUAUAUUUUAGCAUUUGUACUUUUAACAUAUACCUGGCACUUUAGAACCUCUUGAAAGUCUAGAUAUUUCAAAACAAGUACUU